AGCCGGGUAUUUAGUAAACUGCCGGCUAUAUAGUGACUAUAGUUAAAUAUAAAAACUUUUGUCACCGAGCUUGCCGUUAUAGUAUAUGGUAUAGGCACUGUGUGCGAAAAGUGAAACGCAGUCUGGGUCGGGUUGUGUUUUCUUUGACUAAUCUUUUUUUUCUUAGUCACUAUAUAGCCGGCAGUUUACUAAAUAGCUGGCUCU